GAUGAACGCUGGCGGCGUGCCUAACACAUGCAAGUCGAGCGAUUUACUUCGGUAAAGAGCGGCGGACGGGUGAGUAACGCGUGGGUAACCUGCCCUGUACACACGGAUAACAUACCGAAAGGUAUGCUAAUACGAGAUAAUAUACUUUUAUCGCAUGGUAGAAGUAUCAAAGCUUUUGCGGUACAGGAUGGACCCGCGUCUGAUUAGCUAGUUGGUAAGGUAACGGCUUACCAAGGCGACGAUCAGUAGCCGACCUGAGAGGGUGAUCGGCCACAUUGGAACUGAGACACGGUCCAAACUCCUACGGGAGGCAGCAGUGGGGAAUAUUGCACAAUGGGCGAAAGCCUGAUGCAGCAACGCCGCGUGAGCGAUGAAGGCCUUCGGGUCGUAAAGCUCUGUCCUCAAGGAAGAUAAUGACGGUACUUGAGGAGGAAGCCCCGGCUAACUACGUGCCAGCCGCCGCCGUAAGAC
rnacentral:rRNA from 1 species